UUUUACCUUGGCCAGAUGGUUCGGAACUUUAGAGGACCUCUUCUAGAGUUACUGCAAUCAGGGGAUAUAGAUCUUUGCUUUGCCAAUGAGGAUGAAACAAGAGAGCUGUUAAGAGAUGACGAAAAUGCUAGUCCUGAGGCUGCUCUUGAAUUUCUUGCUAAGCACUGCCAAUGGGCAGUGGUGAGACUAGGUUCUAAUAGAUGCCUUGCAAAAUGUGGAAGAGAGGUUUGUGCAAUGUAGCUACACUGCACUUCUGUUGAUGUCACUAAUAAAAUGCAUUUUACUUGUAUUCAGAUGUGCCCUGUGGAGAAUUAGCUGCAUUCUGUUGUUAGUUUGAGUAACGUAUAGAAUGUUCCAUUUUUCUUUCAAAUGGUCUAAGUUCCAGCCAUAUAUUCUGGGACAAGAAACAAAAAAACCAUAAACUUAAUGUCUUUGGUUAAGGCUGCACUUUUUCCCAAUUCCCAAAGGCAAAUUGAUGUAGACAUGUACAUUACGCAUCUGAAGCUUUAUGCUCAUCUUCUGCACAUUGCUAUUGGUGGAUGUUGCACAGUGGACAAGUAAUCGUAUAAGGAUGUAGGUGAUGCCGA